AGAGUUUGAUCCUGGCUCAGGAUGAACGCUGGCGGCGUGCUUAACACAUGCAAGUCGAACGAAGCACUUUAAUUGAUUUCUUCGGAAUGAAGUUUUUGUGACUGAGUGGCGGACGGGUGAGUAACGCGUGGGUAACCUGCCUCAUACAGGGGGAUAACAGUUGGAAACGACUGCUAAUACCGCAUAAGCGCACAGGAUUGCAUGAUCCAGUGUGAAAAACUCCGGUGGUAUGAGAUGGACCCGCGUCUGAUUAGCCAGUUGGCGGGGUAACGGCCCACCAAAGCGACGAUCAGUAGCCGACCUGAGAGGGUGACCGGCCACAUUGGGACUGAGACACGGCCCAAACUCCUACGGGAGGCAGCAGUGGGGAAUAUCGCACAAUGGGGGAAACCCUGAUGCAGCGACGCCGCGUGGAGGAAGAAGGUCUUCGGAUUGUAAACUCCUGUUGUUGAGGAAGAUAAUGACGGUACUCAACAAGGAAGUGACGGCUAACUACGUGCCAGCAGCCGCGGUAAAACGUAGGUCACAAGCGUUGUCCGGAAUUACUGGGUGUAAAGGGAGCGCGGCGGGAAGACAAGUUGGAAGUGAAAUCCAUGGGCUCAACCCAUGAACUGCUUUCAAAACUGUUUUUCUUGAGUAGUGCAGAGGUAGGCGGAAUUCCCGGUGUAGCGGUGGAAUGCGUAGAUAUCGGGAGGAACACCAGUGGCGAAGGCGGCCUACUGGGCACCAACUGACGCUGAGGCUCGAAAGUGUGGGUAGCAAACAGGAUUAGAUACCCUGGUAGUCCACACUGUAAACGAUGAUUACUAGGUGUUGGAGGAUUGACCCCUUCAGUGCCGCAGUUAACACAAUAAGUAAUCCACCUGGGGAGUACGACCGCAAGGUUGAAACUCAAAGGAAUUGACGGGGGCCCGCACAAGCAGUGGAGUAUGUGGUUUAAUUCGACGCAACGCGAAGAACCUUACCAAGUCCUGACAUCCCUUGACGAUGCUGGAAACAGUAUUUCUCUUCGGAGCAAGGAGACAGGUGGUGCAUGGUUGUCGUCAGCUCGUGUCGUGAGAUGUUGGGUUAAGUCCCGCAACGAGCGCAACCCUUAUGGUCAGUUACUACGCAAGAGGACUCUGGCCAGACUGCCGUUGACAAAACGGAGGAAGGUGGGGAUGACGUCAAAUCAUCAUGCCCUUUAUGACUUGGGCUACACACGUACUACAAUGGCGUUAAACAAAGAGAAGCAAGACCGCGAGGUGGAGCAAAACUCAGAAACAACGUCCCAGUUCGGACUGCAGGCUGCAACUCGCCUGCACGAAGUCGGAAUUGCUAGUAAUCGCAGAUCAGCAUGCUGCGGUGAAUACGUUCCCGGGCCUUGUACACACCGCCCGUCACACCAUGAGAGCCGGGGGGACCCGAAGUCGGUAGUCUAACUGCAAGGAGGACGCCGCCGAAGGUAAAACUGGUGAUUGGGGUGAAGUCGUAACAAGGUA
rnacentral:rRNA from 1 species